CGGUCCCGAACGCGCAGUCGCGCGUCCGCGCUAGCUAGUCGUGAGUGGUCGAUCCUAACCCUAAACACGUAUUCAUUUGCACACGCGGGUUAGGGAUAGGGUUAGGAUCGACUGCGCGUUCGGGACCGUGCUGCUUUAGUAGUACCUAUAUACUAUAUAUAAUAUAAACAUAGACGUGUAUUUUAGCUGGGUGCGUUCAAUUACGUCCCCUCAUGCAAAAAGGGGGGGGGGGGCUUCCAUUCAAUAGACUGAAAUCGUAAAUCAGUCGCACCCCCCUCAAAAGUCCCUUAAAAAAUAAGGAGACAGUAGCAGAACGUUGAAAAAAUUUAUUUUUAUUCCACGGCUCCCAAGCUAAAAGGCCAUUUAAUGGUCUUUUUCGCUUUUCUUUUUAACACGUGUUACUGGCCGACUAAAUUUUAACAAUGAUGGAAUUAUUUUUAAUCACGUUGGUCGAAAUUUGAAAAAAAAUAUGCAAUGAAAUGUUACUAUAUAUUUAGAUUUUUUCCUUUUUCUUUCCCCAAUUUUUUUUUUUAUACAUUAUCAUUAUAACUCAUCCAGAUUGGAUUUUAAAUAUUAAAAUGGAACGUAGCAGGUGAACGACAAAUGCUUCAGAAAUCACAUUUCACUUAUUCAAUAACCAACCAGCUGGAGAUAUUGGAUCAUCCGAUGGAAUCUCGAAAGAUUGUCAUUCAUACUUUUAAUAAAUCUAAAACGACAGAUACUAAAAAUAACUACUCAUUUUUCUUUUAUUUACUGAUUCCAAAUGAUGGAUUUUACAUUAAAAGGGCCUAUUUUCUAAAGAUAUAGGAAAUCUUUCACGCCAUGCUGCUUUCUCUUUGAAUCGUACGGAUGUAGAAACAACAGUUCCUAGAAAAAGAUGAAUAUCCAUGUUAUGCCAGGAAAAAAGUUGGCCUAAGUGAAAUAAUACUACGAUUCAGUGCACGCUUUGCGUAGGACAAAAGAUGAAUGUUUCCCAUGAAAAACAUGUCUGGCCAUGAGAAAAUAUUACCUUCCUUAGAAACAGAUGAAGGUGGCAACAGGAAGGAUGUUCGGUCAUAGAAAAUAAAAUCUACCAUAAGAGAUUCUAUCUGACCCAUGCAAGCUUGGAAAAAUGGACAUUGGAAUAACAAUGCCUAUGACAGCAAUGAUGGCAGAGGUGGUGGCAUCAGCCAUGGCAGUGGUGCCAGUGGGAGCAGUGGCAGAGACAACAGCAACAAUAACAAUGACAAUAGAAGAAAAACCAGCCCAAGCCUCAAGAAAUUUGCUGGAUCAGGAAAUGUACAAAUUAAUGAAAAACAGACAAGGCAUCUUUUGUAGUACUGAUGUUACCAACAGUAUUAAUUGUAAUAAACAGUCACUAUCCUACUCCACAGCGGUAGCUGGUAAUAUAAAAAGACAAUCUAUUUCUUUUUAAUUACUCAACUCUAAAAGGUCUACUUUAUAUUUUUAUUUAUUUACUUUUUUGCCAUUUGUUUGUAACUGAUUUCUUUUUGUGCAGAUUUAACAAUGCAAAAACAA